UGGAAGGUUAAUCGUCAGAACAAAAUGGCAUGGAAUAGGUGAUCGAAUGUCGGAGGGGCAGUGACAAAGCCCCUCUCAACUUUGACAGAUUAUUUCUGUAUUUCCAUCAAAUACAACAAAAACAAAGCUGCUGCUGCUGCUGCUGCAGCAAUAUUACAAGCACCUAGGAUAUAUAAAUAUAUUUUUUACCAUAACGACGGGCUUAAGAGCCGCCCUAAUCAUUCCAUUGAACAAUACAAAAACUAAUAUACAGGGCACGGCAAAAAAAAGAUAUUUGCCGCCGAGGACCUCUUCAACGGGCCCCCUCACCACUCCAACUAUCUGCCUACAUCACCCCUAUUAUUCCAUGAUUCCUCCUCUCUCAUCAUGCUCCCAUUUUUCCCACUAUAGUGCAUUUUAAGGGCAGCUACUGGAGCAGAUAUGCCUGUGCCCGAACCCCCCACGAGAAUUCCCCCUCUUCCUACAACAUUCAUCCCUAUUCCCCUUCCCUGCUGCUGUAAACUUGAGAUUGCUUCAAACCCAUUUCUUUGCAAUUCAGAGAAUAUAUCAUGCCGCUGUUUCAUAUCUACAGAGAAUGACUUAACUUUACUAAUGUCAUGACUCAUGUACAUCUGAUAAUCCACAACUCCAUUGCUGCUACUUAUUUCUCUUGGAGGCAAAACUGAAACGCUGUUCAAAUUACGGUCAUUACACUUCACAGGAGCCUGCAAAGCCUGCUGCUCCAUUUUGGAUGAGGUCACGCGAUAAUUGCCAAAUGCUGCCGGAUACUUGGCCAAAAAGUACUCAGGCACAGAUGAAAACCCAGUUUGUAUAUUGUUCCC
rnacentral:misc_RNA from 1 species